AUACGGAGGAUGCGAGCGUUAUCCGGAUUUAUUGGGUUUAAAGGGAGCGUAGGCGGGAGCUUAAGUCAGCGGUUAAAUGGUGCGGCUCAACCGUGCCCUGCCGUUGAAACUGGGUUUCUUGAGAGUGCAAGAGGCGGAUGGAAUUCAUGGGGUAGCGGGGGAAUGCUUAGAUAUCAUGAAGAACUCCGAUUGCGAAGGCAGUCCGCUGGGGCACGUCUGACGCUGAUGCUCGAAGGUGCGGGAAUCAAACAGGAUUAGAUACCCUGGUAGUCCGCACGGUAAACGAUGAUUACCCGCUGUCGGCGGUAGACAGUCGGCGGCCAAGCGAAAGCGAUAAGUAAUCCACCUGGGGAGUACGCCGGCAACGGUGAAACUUAAAGGAAUUGGCGGGG
rnacentral:rRNA from 1 species